ACGAUGCAAAUAGUCUAUGGUACAGUCAGUAUAAGUGAUAUAUUA
rnacentral:guide_RNA from 1 species